rnacentral:rRNA from 1 species
CCCAGACAGCCAGGAUGUUGGCUUAGAAGCAGCCAUCAUUUAAAGAAAGCGUAAUAGCUCACUGGUCGAGUCGGCCUGCGCGGAAGAUGUAACGGGGCUAAACCAUGCACCGAAGCUGCGGCAGCGAACGUAUCACUUAAAGCGAUUCAGCGGGUUACGAUUGACGGAGCGAAGCGACGUCAAAGCGUAUAUAAAGUCGAGUCGGUUUAAGGAUACGUUCGUUGGGUAGGGGAGCGUUCUGUAAGCCUGUGAAGGUGGCCUGUGAGGGUUGCUGGAGGUAUCAGAAGUGCGAAUGCUGACAUAAGUAACGAUAAAGCGGGUGAAAAGCCCGCUCGCCGGAAGACCAA